UGGAUGCAUACAAUCCCCUAACCAAAUAGUAUAGCAAUUAGUUAAAUGUAUUUUUUGUUGUUUGGACUAGUCUGUCUUUUAUGCUCUUUGAAGGACAAGAGAUGAAGCCACACACAACUCCUUGAAUGCAUUCUAGGAAGAUCCAAACUUGAAAGAUAUAGGGGGAAUUUAGAAGCUAUUCAAAGGAGUCCUUGAUUUUGACCAAACUGAAGUCUUGCAGGCUUGAAGCACAGUGUGGGACAGUUUAUGCUGCCAGUCCCUGUGCUGCAUCUGUUCUUUGGAAAAACUAGAAGACUUCAAUCAGUUUGACACUUUCCACCACCACGAGCCUAAUCAGAGGAUUCUUAUUACUGUGUCUACAUUGCUUUUCCUAUAAAGUUAAAAAAAAAAAAACCAGAAAAUUGGCAAACUAUAUUCUAAUAAAUGAGUUAUGUUUUUA